UUUUUCUUGCCACCAGCGCGUACUAUUGCCUGUUUAAACUCUGCUGUGUUUUCCUUACCGUUGUGUGCCACGUCAGAUUCUUUCUUUGUCACACGUAAGAACCUAGGAACCUUGGACCCCAUCACCCAUCUUGGUGCACCUAGCCAGGAGUUCUUAGGCAGAUGCCAGGUCAACACCAUCCCAUCAAAAACCUGCUUGGGUUCUCCGAAGAUAGUACUGAAGACAGUACCCUCUGAUUGGCUCCAUGUGCAGGGACCUGUGAACUGCUCUGCACACGUGCCCUGA
rnacentral:lncRNA from 1 species